GGGGUUGUGGCUUAGUGGUAGAGCGCUUGCCUAGCAUGCAUGAGGCACUGGGUUCAAUCCUCAGCACCA
rnacentral:tRNA from 1 species